GCCGCUUUAGCUCAGCUGGCAGAGCACGUCCAUGGUAAGGACGGGGUCGCGAGUUCGAUUCUCGCAGGCGGCU
rnacentral:tRNA from 5 species